UACAGAGGUCUCAAGCGUUGUUCGGAAUUACUGGGCGUAAAGCGUGCGCAGGCGGCUUUGCAAGACAGAUGUGAAAUCCCCGGGCUCAACCUGGGAACUGCAUAUGUGACUGCAUGGCUAGAGUACGGUAGAGGGGGAUGGAAUUCCGCGUGUAGCAGUGAAAUGCGUAGAUAUGCGGAGGAACACCGAUGGCGAAGGCAAUCCCCUGGACCUGUACUGACGCUCAUGCACGAAAGCGUGGGGAGCGAACAGG
rnacentral:rRNA from 1 species